GAUGAAGAACGCAGUGAAAUGCGAUAAGUAAUGUGAAUUGCAGAAUUCAGUGAAUCAUCGAAUCUUUGAACGCACAUUGCGCCCCCUGGUAUUCCGGGGGGCAUGCCUGUUUGAGCGUCAUUUCACCACUCAAGCCUCGCUUGGUAUUGGGCAACGCGGUCCGCCGCGUGCCUCAAAUCGACCGGCUGGGUCUUCUGUCCCCUAAGCGUUGUGGAAACUAUUCGCUAAAGGGUGUUCGGGAGGCUACGCCGUAAAACAACCCCAUUUCUAAGGUUGACCUCGGAUCAGGUAGGGAUACCCGCUGAACUUAAGCAUAUCAAUAAGCGGAGGA
rnacentral:misc_RNA from 1 species